UUAACCGCGAAGAACCUUACCAGGUCUUGACAUACUAUGCAAAUUUAAGAGAUUAGACGUUCCCUUCGGGGACAUGGAUACAGGUGGUGCAUGGUUGUCGUCAGCUCGUGUCGUGAGAUGUUGGGUUAAGUCCCGCAACGAGCGCAACCCUUAUUAUCAGUUGCCAGCAUUAAGUUGGGCACUCUGGUGAGACUGCCGGUGACAAACCGGAGGAAGGUGGGGAUGACGUCAAAUCAUCAUGCCCCUUAUGACCUGGGCUACACACGUGCUACAAUGGAUGGUACAACGAGUUGCGAACUCGCGAGAGUAAGCUAAUCUCUUAAAGCCAUUCUCAGUUCGGAUUGUAGGCUGCAACUCGCCUACAUGAAGUCGGAAUCGCUAGUAAUCGCGGAUCAGC
rnacentral:rRNA from 1 species